rnacentral:rRNA from 1 species
UACGAAGGGGGCUAGCGUUGCUCGGAAUUACUGGGCGUAAAGCGCACGUAGGCGGCUUUCUAAGUCGGGGGUGAAAUCCUGGAGCUCAACUCCAGAACUGCCUUCGAUACUGGAAAGCUCGAGUCCGGGAGAGGUGAGUGGAACUGCGAGUGUAGAGGUGAAAUGCGCAGAUAUCAGGAGGAACACCAAUGGCGAAGGCAGCUCGCUGGGACGGUACUGACGCUGAGACGCGAAAGCGUGGGGAGCAAACAGG